rnacentral:tRNA from 1 species
AAAGAGGCCCGAGGCAGACAAGGAUUGCUAAUCCUUUCGCCCAUGGUUAAACUCCA